rnacentral:rRNA from 1 species
AUGUUCGUCCACCGCUUUAUCGAUGAGCUAGGAGUACUGAGCAAUAAGCAACAAAGGCCCAGGAUAGCCACCGGGACCCCGGCGGGGCAACAACAAAGACCAAAAUGGCCACCACCAGGAUUUUGCAAAAUCCACGUCGAUGCUGCAAUUCGAUCACGUGGGGGUUCGGCGGCGGCGGUCUGCAGGGAUGAGAAUGGUAACUAUGUUGGAGGCUCGGCUCUGGUCAUCGAAGGAACCCUCGAUCCAGCCACUCUGGAAACGAUCGCAUGUCGCGAGGCAAUGGCGCUAGCGGAGGACCUCAGUAUCAGAGAGUUUGUUAUCGCAUCAGACUGCCGGCAGGUAAUCCAGGACAUCAACAUGGGUACACGAGGAGGAUAUGCGUCAAUUAUAAACGAGAUAAACCAUAGAGCUACUACCUUUCAUUGUAUUUUUACUUUCGAGAGUCGUGCUGCAAACUAUGAAGCACAUAACUUAGCUAAGUUUGCUUUGUCAAAAGGUCUGGGACGCCAUGUGUGGUUUGGCCAGCCCUAUGACCAGAGACGUAUCCUACUGCAUGUGGAUUUUGAUGAAUAA